rnacentral:rRNA from 1 species
UACGGAGGGUGCGAGCGUUGUCCGGAAUCACUGGGCGUAAAGGGCGCGUAGGCGGCUCGGUAAGUAGGGGGUGAAAUCCUGCGGCUUAACCGCAGGGCUGCCUUCUAAACUGUCGAGCUUGAGCACGGUAGAGGCAGAUGGAAUUCCCGGUGUAGCGGUGGAAUGCGUAGAGCUCGGGAAGAACAUCGGUGGCGAAAGCGCUCUACUGGACUGCAACUGACACUCAGGGACGAAAGCUAGGGGAGCGAAUGGG